rnacentral:lncRNA from 1 species
GUUUUAUAAUCUGAUGACAAUCCAGUGCUAAAGUCAAUCUCUGAGCAACCAGCGCUGGAUGUUGAGUUUGGAGGGUCAAGUUGUGUGUGAAGGAGCACAGCCCAACUUCAUCACCGGACUGGCAGCGUUGUUUGCCUCCUUCUAUAAUUUCAAUUUACAGUACCAGGAAGAGGCAGCAUGCACCCUUGAGUUUGUUCAGAGACGCUUUGUUGACAUCAAUCCUGAACGUGGAUCGAAAGCAAAAAAGGAAAAGUGACUUCAAAGAAAACUGGCCAAGUUGUGCAAAAAAAGAACACCACUGUAAGCCCACCGGUUUCCUCACUUCUGCAAAAACUUGCAGACUUUGAAUGGAACUUUGUUUAGAUCCUGUCAGCAAGUACAUUAAAAGUAAAUAUGAUUACUGCAUCGUUAAUUCCAUUUAUAAAAUACAACUGCCAUUUCAGCCAAUUUGCUGUUCUAUUUUAAUUUUUUGACUCUUUACAUUUCUGGGAAAAAAAACUUUAAAUUUGUUAAAGGUUAACAAGAUUACUAUAUUAUAAAGUGUUAAGUGUUUAACUAACAUUUUAAAUGUUUAAAAAAAAAAAACAGCUGGCAUUUCAUCCAAAUGUGUUCACAUAAGGCAAGUGUCUGGUCGUUGCUUUUAAAAUAAAUGUUUUAAAACCCAGAUAAUGUUGUUGGUUUCUAUUUUCUAGUAAAGUUACUAAAGUAUAAUAGUUUCCUGUAAAAAUAAUGUUUUUUUGUCUGUAGACAACCAGUAUAAUACCGUAAAAUUAUGUGGUAUAUACUGUAUUUUGUAAUUACAGUGCAGUACUGUAAAUGCUGUUUACGGUACUAAUUUAGGAAAAUACAGUAUGUGGCUGGCAACCCAGCUGCCAGUAUUUUACUGUAAAUUUACAGUACAACGGUUUACAGAACUAGUACUGUAAAUUCUGAUUACAGUACUAGUUCUGUAAAAAUACAGUAUGUGGCUGGCAACCCAGCUGCCAGUAUUUUACUGUAAUUUUACGGUGAAAAGUUUUACAGUGUAGUCUUGGAGGCAUCCUGUCCACCCAUUCAUCCGGAGUCAUGUUCCAGUCUCCUCCUACUAAAAUAUAGCUAGUGGGGUACCGCACUUUAGGCUCUGAUAUCACAUUUGUUAUUUUUUCCAUGAGUUUCUUGUUUUGUCCGUCAUUAUUAUAUCCAUAAAUGUUUGUUAUAAUAAGAAACUGACUUUCUACCUUUAAUACCACCGUUAGCCAGUGACCAUCUCCAUCGUUUCUAUGCGUUAUAAUUUCUCCAGGCCAUCUAUUAAAGCAAAUUGCCACACCUGCCGAGCGAUUGGAGCCAUGGUUAAAUAAAAUCUUGUCUCCCCAUUGGUUAGUCCAUAAAGCAACGUCCACAUCAGCCGAAUGGGUCUCUUGCAAAAAUAAACACUGAGAUCUUUGCCCUUUACAAAAUAAAAAAAGUGCUUUCCUUUUCACAAUGUCUUUCAGGCCCCUAACGUUUAAUGAACCAAAAGAAAUGUCAACACUUUCCA